UUUUUUUUUUUUUUUUUCGGGGAACACUCAAAACCACACACCAUUCACUGAAAGGCAAUUCACAUUAAAAGGUUCUGUUUUGGCUUCUUGACAUAUCCAUCUGCUCUCAGGAAACGGAUGAGAAACUUCCUCAGGGAACUUUGGGAAGGGGCUGGCAUGUUUCUGGCCCACAGACCUGAGACUCUCUUGUUUGGAGGAGGAGACGGAUCAGUUGAAACCUGCAGGCUCUUGGCUUCCAGGAUGCUUAAAUCGAAAGCCUUAAGAAAGCUGUGGGGACUUGGACAUCUGGAAUUAUCCUGGCCACCAGAGGGCAUUAGGAACCUGUUGGUCACACCCCCAGGUAAUCUGCCAUUUCUGUCUGGGUUAUAGCUUGGCAGUUUUACACAGGGUUAGUUUCAUAACCUUUUCAGAGCAUGAGGGGCCGAAUCAGACUCCCAGAAUGCCAAAGAAAAUCAAAUUGACAGGCUUAGGCUUAUCUCUCUCGUCUCCCAAAAUUAAAUGUGCAGGUGCGUUCAUUGAUUUAACAGGUAUCCUUUGAGUGCUGCUUACGUACUGCCUCUAAACUAAGUUCUGCGAAUACAUUCAAAAACGCAAAGCCUCGGCUCCACAGGCGCUCACAGUCUAGGCUUUUCCAUAGACAAUAGGCAAAUGGCUCAUUGCCCACUAAGGGAACUCCACAGGGUCCUGAAUCUAAAGCAAUGAGGUUUUUUCUUACGGUGAGGUGAAGGCUCUGGGGGUUAGGAUCAUCAUCUUGACACUUUCAAAUGAGAGAAUGUAGAUGUCUGUGAAUGGGAUUAGGAAAGUGGCCUUUUGAAGCCUUUAGUAUUGUAGCUAAACUUUAGAACACCGGUGUGGGACUGACUGUAUAGACUAAUGGUAAAUCCUAAGCCAGGAGUCACUGUCCCACCACGUAAACUUGACGGAAUAAUCAGCUUUUGUGGACUUAACGUUUUCUCAGCCACUCUCAGAAAAGGUCAGGACUCUAUGACUGUUACACAAUAGAAAAUGAAAUGAAAUGGAAAGGAAUUCUAAUAUGGCAUUAUACUGGUGGAGAAACCCAAUUGGGAUUUUUCUGCCCCCUUUGGUAUGUUUUUACAGCUACUUGUUUGUUUGCAUGGCUGAUAACUCCCCCUCACCCCGCACUGUUCUUACUUUGUGUAGACACAGGAUCUAGGUUAUGUUAAAACUAGUAUUGGAAUUCAGAAGUGACUAAUUGCCCAACCAAAGGAUCAGAAUUCUAUUUUAUUUUUCACAGUAACUUGGAUGAGUUGAUGUGUAAAUGGAUGGCAUGUUACAGCUCACUGUUUUCUAAGAAAACAGCAGAAUUGAGUGAAGAUAAAUUCUGAGACUCCCUCCCUUUCCUCCGCCAUAGCCCUUGAGCCAGAGGGUGUUGUCCAUAGGACAGACCAAAGGAGUUUGGCAAGACUACCAAUGCGCUAAGGCACUCAUGGGUAGUGAGCAUUUACACAUAAGUGGAAUUCACUAGGAUGUACCGGGACUCUGGUAGAGAUAAUUUGAAUUAUCUCUAAAUUGUGCUAAGCAUGAAUUCAUGCAGGAUAACUCUGCCUCCUAACACUGAUGCUGACCCAGCCUGUCAAUAUUUACAUUUUUGUGUUUUUCUAAGCUAGACCUCUGAAGACAAAAGCCCACUGCAGCUGAAAGCAGAAUGUUGCUUCUAUCCUCCAGAUAAAGUACAAUAUCUAUUGUUUCAGAAGACUAGAUGCAAUAGGACAAGAAUUGAGCUGGUGUAUUACACUUGCCCUCUUUUUUAUGUUAUUAUUAUUUACCCAGAGACAACGCUGAUUAAUCUUUACCAAGGACAAUGGGAAAAGAAAUAUGAUUACAUAGUUUGGUUUUUUUAGGUAGUAAAAAGACUUUGACCUGGAAUUAAGAAGACUUAGGUUCUCAAUGCAGUUCUUUGUUUUAUCACAUAACUGCUGUGCCAGUGCUUUUGAUAAUUAUGGUAAUUUGGAAGGAGCACACCUGGCUGGAAAUCCUUCCUUUGCCUCUUAUUAUGGGAC
rnacentral:lncRNA from 1 species